rnacentral:rRNA from 1 species
CUACGCUCUAGUGAAUCAUCGAAUCUUUGAACGCAAGUGGCGCUCUCACGCUCGCGUGGGAGCAUGCCUCUUUCAGCAUCGGUUAUUCUAAACUCAUCUGCUUGCAGAUGGAGAAUGAGUUGUCGCUUUUUUGCUAACCCAAAGAGCGUCACUUAAAGUCUGGCGAGCUCAGUCGCAAGUUUCACUGAGAAAGUGACGUUGGUAGGUAAUGAAAGCAUCAGCUUUCGUUUACUUCACGCCGCGUCUGCUUUCGUUUGCAGGUGAAGCUGCCCUAUUUAGCAAUAGAUAGGACGACUAGCGUAAGAGUAGUCUUUGUUUUUUUAAAUAAAUAAGAAGUAGCUACUCAGCCUUAACGACUUGAUCUGAAAUGAGGUAAGAGGACCCGCCGAACUUAAGCAUAUCAAUAAGCGGAGG